rnacentral:misc_RNA from 1 species
UCCGGCUUGUCGCCGGCGGUCCCUUUAGAGUGCCCAACUAAAUGAUGGCAACUAAAGGCGAGGGUUGCGCUCGUUGCGGGACUUAACCCAACAUCUCACGACACGAGCUGACGACAGUCAUGCAGCAUCUGUGCAUGAGCUCCGAAGAGCACCCCUGAUCUCUCAGAGGCUUCCCAUGCAUGUCAAGCCCAGGUAAGGUUCUGCGCGUUGCGUCGAAUUGAACCACAUGCUCCACCGCUUGUGCGGGCCCCCGUCAAUUCCUUUGAGUUUUAAUCUUGCGACCGUACUCCCCAGGCGGGAUGCUUAAAGCGUUAGCUGCGCCACUGACGAGCAAGCUCGCCAACGGCUAGCAUCCAUCGUUUACGGCGUGGACUAC